rnacentral:pre_miRNA from 1 species
UUAACUCAAUUUUUUAUGGAAUUGGAACGUUUGCCUACGUUGGACGUUAGGGGCGCUGUUCUAACUGCAUACAAUUUGAGUUA